rnacentral:rRNA from 1 species
AUUGAACGCUGGCGGCAGGCCUAACACAUGCAAGUCGAGCGGAGCGGCGGACGGGUGAGUAAUGCCUAGGAAUCUGCCUGGUAGUGGGGGAUAACGUCAGGAAACGGGCGCUAAUACCGCAUACUAUCAGAUGAGCCUAGGUCGGAUUAGCUAGUUGGUGGGGUAAAGGCCUACCAAGGCGACGAUCCGUAAAUGGUCUGAGAGGAUGAGCAGGCAAACUGGAACUGUGACACGGGCCAGACUCCUACGGGAGGCAGCAGUGGGUAAUAUUGGACAAUGGGCGAAAGCCUGAUCCAGCCAUGCCGCGUGUGUGAAGAAGGUCUUCGGAUUGUAAAGCACUUUCAGCGGGGAGGCGUUACCCGCAGAAGAAGCACCGGCUAACUCCGUGCCAGCAGCCGCGGUAAUAC